rnacentral:rRNA from 1 species
UACAGAGGGGGCAAGCGUUGUUCGGAAUUACUGGGCGUAAAGGGCGCGUAGGCGGCCUUCUAAGUCGAACGUGAAAUCCCCGGGCUCAACCCGGGAACUGCGUCUGAUACUGGAAGGCUUGAGUGCGGGAGAGGGAUGUGGAAUUCCAGGUGUAGCGGUGAAAUGCGUAGAUAUCUGGAGGAACACCGGUGGCGAAGGCGGCAUCCUGGACCGAUACGACGCUGAGGCGCGAAAAG